rnacentral:rRNA from 1 species
GACGAACGCUGGCGGCGUGCCUAAUACAUGCAAGUCGAGCGGACUUUCAAGAAGCUUGCUUUUUGAAAGUUAGCGGCGGACGGGUGAGUAACACGUGGGCAACCUGCCUGCAAGACGGGGAUAACUCCGGGAAACCGGGGCUAAUACCGGAUAAUAUCUUCCUUCGCAUGAAGGAAGGUUGAAAGGCGGCGCAAGCUGCCGCUUGCAGAUGGGCCCGCGGCGCAUUAGCUAGUUGGUGAGGUAACGGCUCACCAAGGCGACGAUGCGUAGCCGACCUGAGAGGGUGAUCGGCCACACUGGGACUGAGACACGGCCCAGACUGCUACGGGAGGCAGCAGUAGGGAAUCUUCCGCAAUGGACGAAAGUCUGACGGAGCAACGCCGCGUGAGCGAAGAAGGUCUUCGGAUCGUAAAGCUCUGUUGUCAGGGAAGAACAAGUACCGUUCGAACAGGGCGGUACCUUGACGGUACCUGACCAGAAAGCCACGGCUAACUACGUG